ensembl:lincRNA Gm11766 predicted gene 11766
ACACUUCAUCCUCCAGCCAAGCGAGCGCACCAGGAAGGGUACCCCACCAAGAGAGUGUCCACCUUUCCUUUCUGCCACACUGUAGGUUUGAGAGGGAACAGAAGACGCCAGAACCAGAAAUGGUCAGGAUCCAGAGGGACUCCAGGGGACCUUCAGUCUUCCUGUCUCCAGGCUCCUCUGUGCUGCUGCCUCUGCCUUCAGCCAUGAUGGGGACAUGGCAGCAUGCGGAGCACUCUGGUGGGGGAGGAGGGGUCUACUGUACUGUCCCUGCUGGGCUUGGGAGGGAGGACUGGAGAGAUGAGAGGGCAAGCACUCUGCUCAGGUAGUACCAGCUGCUAGAGCAUGGUGAGUCCUCCAUAUGACUCCUCCUCCCCUGACUCCUCCCAACACCUCACAGAACCCUGGUCUCGGCUUUGGGGGCUCUAGGCGACUAGGGACCUGCCCAGGAGCCACAGCCGCGUCUGCCCCACCCCUUCGAGCUGACUGGUGACAGAAUGGACUCCUUAAGCCUGGGCCCUCUCCCCACAUUGCACCCCGAGCCAGUCACAGUCAGGUCUCAACCUGUCCCUUCCAUGGUGGCAGGCUAUGCCCUGAGGGCCAGACAAGACCAGGUGGCUGUUGGCAGCUGAAAUAGGCUUCCUGCUGGUAGGAGUAAGACUUCCAUCUAAAGUUCUAGCCACCUCGAUGGCCAGCCACUAAGACUGUCCUGAAACCAGAGCAAUGCCCCCCCACAUACAAGAACACUUCUGCCCUCAGGCCUGGCCGAGGUGCAGGUCCUGCAGCAUGAGCAACAAGGGUGUGGAGGGGAAAAAGGCUUUUCCCGAAGCCCCAGAGGAGUCCGAGCUCCUGCUUUUCUGCCUCUCCUACUCUAGAACUUUCUGGUUACCUAUUACAGAAGCUUCAAGCCAGGAAUGAAAACAGGAAAGUUCUGGUUGGGAGAUCCUUCCCUAGGAGGGAAGAAAAGCUGCCAGGUGGGGGUGGGCUGGGGUGGGCUGGGGAUGAAGAGAAUUCCCUUAACAGGCUCCCACCACCUCUGGAGACCUUAGACAAAUGGCUAUCCACCUUAGGCAAGCUCAGCGAAGUGGCUGAGGAUGGAGGUGAAGCUGGGGUGACAGUCUUCUGGGGAGGGGGGUCACUUCUCGAAGGGCAGCCUCUGCCGAGCACGGGCUCCCAAUCCGUGAGCCUGCCUUGCCAGGAGAACAGCUUGCUUGAAAUGCACGGCUGUCAUCCUGUAAUUAAAUCUGAGACCCCCCCUCCUUCCUACAUGACGCCGAGAUGAAGCCACUUAUAUAACACAACUAAAAAUAAGCUUGUGGAGACAUACACACUGCUGCUCCCCACCCCAGCCCGUCUCCAGAGCUGCCCACCCUGAACCAUGACCUACAGCGUUGGGGAUCUGAGGCGGUGCCUGCCCUGGGCCUGCGCUCAGCAGCGUGCCUGUGGAGAAAGUGAGGCUGGGCUCAGAGAAGUGGACACAUGGGUUUAUGGCUGGGGUGGCUGCAGAUCGCCACUCAGGGAGCACUGAGUGGGAAGGCCAGAAGCAUAUGGACAAUGGUCUGUCUCUGCUUCCAGUGACUUCUCCCAGAGCUGCUCAUUCACUGAGGCCUGCUCCCCUCCACCCCAGAACCAGAACCAGUGAGCCCCACUCCCACCUUGGCACAGUAUAAGAAGAGCCGGGGUAUAUCGGAAGGUCUGGGAGGUGUGUUGACUGUCAGCCAUCACCCUGGGUGACACUUAUCAUCAUUCCUUCUGGGAAGAUUCAGGAGGAGCCAAUGACAAUGGUUCCACCUUGACAAUAGCUUCCUCCACUCCGAUGGACAGAAGCGGGUGCAAGCUCACACACGGGCCACUAUUUCCUAGCUACCAGCCUACUGAACUUUUAGGAAAGUAAGCAGAUUCCUCAGACACCAGUGUAACAGGAAGAGGAAUAUGAUGAAGUUUGUAACGGGCUUUGGAUGAAAAGGAGUCAGGGAAAGAGUGGCCCCCUAAUCCACUUGGAGCCAGAGUCUUGCUGAUCUGUGAGCAUGCUGCUUAUGGUGUGCCCACCCACUCAGCAACCUGACCUCUGACCAUUGGUGCCCCCUACUAUUAAAGGAGCUGCUUCCAGGGUCAGAAAGGCUUCCGUGCUGAAGUCUGAACUCAGGCUAUGGUCAGCCCCAAUAAAGAGCUGGAGGGAACACAACUCCUCUCUCCUGUCCCCUUCCAACCCCAGCAAGUCCUGUCAGGACGGCCAUUGUCACAGAGCUCUGAGCUGCAGGCAGGUUUGAGACACUGUCACUCAGGUGUCCUGACACCCUCUUCCCACUGUGGGUUUCUGCUGCAGCUGGCCAGCCUCCUGCCUGGGACAUGGACAGACCUGAGUCUGCCACCCACGUAGCACAGAAAUGGGGUGACUAUGGGUAGGCAGGCCCAGGAAAGAGCCUUGGGAUGUUGUGGAAGGGGGAGUGGUCCAAGCCAUGGGAACUUUUCUUGGGGGAGCUUCUCUGCCCUUUUUCAGACAGACCCCAAGUGUUUGCUGCCAGCCCCCACCUCUAGUUCUCCUCCAUGGCCUUGGCCUGGGGCAAGCAUGGAGGAGCUGCUUCUAUCCCAGUGCACAGCUCCCUGUUGGCUUUCCGAUCAGUGAGGGGAUCAGUGUGUGCUUGAGUAGGCACCAUACCAUGCUGGUCUAAAUGGACUAGAAAGUGAGAUGAAGGGGCAGCUGUAACCAACCAGUCGCAGUGAAGAGUAAUUGACAAGUCCUUAUUUGACAGCCAGUUAGUUUAAGCUGGCUUUCUGUCACAAGAAGAACCCAAGAAAAGACAGAUACACAGAGAUGUACACAGAGAUGUACACAGACGACAAGGAAACAGAGGACAGUGGGCUGAAUUCCUUCUCCUUACACAUGUAGCAAAGUGAAUAGGGGCCGUCUGAGUCCCCUGCUGAGGCUUGACAGCCGCGCCUUGGAUUUGUGUCCUCUGGGUUGUUGGAGUGGUGUAACCAGCUGUCCAGGAAAUGGAUGCUGGAGUGUUAUGUUUAAUUAAAAGGAAACAUUC